rnacentral:rRNA from 1 species
GAUGAACGCUGGCGGCGUGCCUAAUACAUGCAAGUCGAGCGAACGGACGAGAAGCUUGCUUCUCUGAUGUUAGCGGCGGACGGGUGAGUAACACGUGGAUAACCUACCUAUAAGACUGGGAUAACUUCGGGAAACCGUAGCUAAUACCGGAUAAUAUUUUGAACCGCAUGGUUCAAAAGUGAAAGACGGUCUUGCUGUCACUUAUAGAUGGAUCCGCGCUGCAUUAGAUAGUUGGUAAGGUAACGGCUUACCAAGGCAACGAUGCAUAGCCGACCUGAGAGGGUGAUCGGCCACACUGGAACUGAGACACGGUCCAGACUCCUACGGGAGGCAGCAGUAGGGAAUCUUCCGCAAUGGGCGAAAGCCUGACGGAGCAACGCCGAGUGAGUGAUGAAGGUCUUCGGAUCGUAAAACUCUGUUAUUAGGGAAGAACAUAUGUGUAAGUAACUGUGCACAUCUUGACGGUACCUAAUCAGAAAGCCACGGCUAACUACGUG